rnacentral:misc_RNA from 1 species
ACGCAUGGGAGUCGAACGGGGGUUUUGGGUAACUGAGACCCUAGUGGCAUACGCGUGAGUAACACGUGGGUGACCUACCUCCAAGCGGGGAAUAACGACCCGAAAGGGUCGCUAAUACCGCAUGAGGUCGAGAGACCAAAGUCGAGCGAAAGCGAGGCGCUUGGGGAGGGGCCUGCNGNCCNNCNNGUANNUGGCNGGGUAAAAGCCUACCAAUCUGAUGACGGGUAGCUGAUUUGAGAGGAUGACCAGCCACAUUGGCAUUGACACACGGGCCAGACUCUUACUGUAGUGAACAGUGGG